GGUGGUUCUCAGGUGAUACACCCAGGAAUCAGGCUCCCUCCUCUCUGGUGCCGGGGUGUGUCACCUGAGAACUGCC
rfam:Myotis brandtii contig153827, whole genome shotgun sequence.